rnacentral:rRNA from 1 species
AGAUUCCCCUAGUAGCGGCGAGCGAACGGGGAGCAGCCCAGAGUCUUAAUCAAUAGCAGUGUCAGGAGAACGGUCUGGAAAGUCCGGCAGUAAAGGGUGAUAGCCCCGUAUCUGAAGAUGCUGUUAUUGUGAACUCGACGAGUAGGGCGGGACACGUGUUAUCCUGUCUGAAUAUGGGGGGACCAUCCUCCAAGGCUAAAUACUCCUGAUUGACCGAUAGUGAACCAGUACCGUGAGGGAAAGGCGAAAAGAACCCCGGCGAGGGGAGUGAAAAAGAACCUGAAACCGUGUACGUACAAGCAGUAGGAGCC